rfam:Methylobrevis pamukkalensis strain PK2 A6302_contig000216, whole genome shotgun sequence.
GACCGGGCCCCUCUGGCAGCCGUGACGCGGCUGCGAUGUCGGACUGAAUAA